CACGUAGGGGGCGAGCGUUGUCCGGAUUUAUUGGGCGUAAAGAGCUCGUAGGCGGCUUUGUCAGUCGGGUGUGAAACCUCCAGGCUCAACCUGGAGCCGCCACCCGAUACUGCAAUAGCUAGAGUCCGGUAGGGGAGCAUGGAACUCCUGGUGUAGCGGUGAAAUGCGCAGAUAUCAGGAAGAACACCAGUGGCGAAGGCGGUGCUCUGGGCCGGAACUGACGCUGAGGAGCGAAAGCGUGGGGAGCGAACCGG
rnacentral:rRNA from 1 species